AAACUUCUAUCAGCAGGGAAGAAAAUGACAGUACCUGACUAAGAAGCCCCGGCUAACUUACGUGCCAGCAGCCGCGGUAAUACGGUAGGGGGCAAGCGUUAUCCGGAAUUACUGGGUGUAAAGGGUGCGUAGGCGGCGAGGCAAGUCAGAUGUGAAAGCCCUAGGCUCAACUUAGGGACUGCAUUUGAAACUGCUUUGCUAGAGUGCAGGAGAGGAAAGCGGAAUUCCUAGUGUAGCGGUGAAAUGCGUAGAUAUUAGGAGGAACACCAGUGGCGAAGGCGGCUUUUCUGGACUUGUAACUGACGUUGAGGCACGAAAGCGUGGGGAGCGAACAGGAUUAGAUACCCUGGUAGUCCACGCGUGUAAACGAAGAGUGCUAGGAGUCGGCCUGUAGAGGGUCGGUGCUGAAGUUCACACAUUACGCUUUCGACCUUUGGCUGGAACCUUGGA
rnacentral:rRNA from 1 species